GGGGACAGGAGGCUCUUCCCAAUGCCACAGAGUCACUGUCCACUCAUAAUACUGGCCCCAUUAGUGCAGCCAUAAACAAAAAAGAAUUUCUGUAUUCUAUUUCUGCAUCCUGAAGCUAGAAAAUUAAGUCUGCAGCCUUUGCAAAAGUGUCGUAAUAAAGGAAUUUGUGCACCAAGUUUUUAUACUAACCUCCUCUUGGUAAACCGACACAGCUCCUGCAUGCCAAGGUCCCUUCCAGUUCAGCACAUCUAUGAUACUCCCCCUCAAAUGCAUUUUUUCUUCAGAGCUCAAGGGUGGGGUUGGCGUUUUUGCCUCACUGGGUUUGUGGGAGACCCAGCUGCAAAAUCAUUAAUUGCUUUGGUGAGUCAACAAAUAAACAAUGACAGUCAGCUACUGUUCCCAUACUGCAAGGUCAUAAGAAGUUUCUGGACUUCUCUGCAAAAUCUUGUUAAAAAAAAGGAUCCUCACGGCCCUUAAAACUUCUUUAGUACGGAAAAUUACAAACAUAUGCACAAGAAGAGAGAAUUGUGUAAUAUAUCCCCCCAUGAACCUAUCACUUCACUUUGAUAAUUACCAACUUAAGGUUUAUAAUGUUUUAUCCAUACCCCUGCUUACCAUCGUCCCCGGAUAAUUUUGAAGAAAAUUUCACUUACGGAUGAAAGAUAAUCUCAUCUGUAAAUAUUUCAGUAAUUGCACCUUCUUUAUGACCAACAUAGUACAUCUCUCCAGGGGAAAAGAACUUCCUACCUCCCCCCAUGAUGCCAAGAACAUUUGACCAGUCUGCAUCUGUGUCCCAAGGCUGGUCUCUAAGUUAGGCAAGCUCAAGGGUUUGGUGAAUUCUGCCCAAAGUCUGUCCUGCUCCCUGGAGACAAAGGGACAUACAUAAAAUGUCACGCAGAGGCACUGCCCUGUGCAAGAUUUUGAGUAUUAGCUGAGCUGCUGCCCAAUAACUGAAAUGAGACCCAAACUAAGAGGCAGAAAUCAUCGUCGUGAGUCCCAACUGGCCUCAGCAUUUUUCACGGUGUUAUUUCAUGCAGCUUUCACCAAUUCUGAUUUUACUUCUAUCUUAUAGAUAAGAAAACUGAGCCCAAGGUCACACAGCUAGUCGAUACCCAAGGCAGAAACUGACUAGAUGCUAAUCGAACUCCGUUCUUUUUCAUGGGCAUAGCUGGAUUACAUUUCCCAGGUUCCCUUGCAGUCAGGUUUGGCCGUGUGACUGAGUUCUGGCCAAGGCAAUAUAAGCCAGUCCCAUAAAAAAAUAAAACAUCCAGGGCAAUCCUACAUGUUCUCUUUCUUUCUCCGUCCACUGGCUGAAUGGAGAGAAUUUCUAGGCCCAAGGGAGGAUGGAGCCACAGGAAGGAGGGAGCCUGGAGGACUGUGUGGAGCAGAUACCUCUCUGAACCCUCACUGGAUUGUGAAAGUCACCAAGGAGGCAAGUGGAGCCCUGUAAAUCUCUCACAAACAGCGAUGCCCAGAGACCUCUGCUUUUUGACCCCAGCCAGCUGCUCAGAACAAAUGCCACUAAACCCAUGGAACAUGCCCUGCUCCCACCUGCCAUGCUCUCAUCAUCUGAAAGGGGGGCCUGAUAUGCAGAUGAGGGUGUGGCAGUCACAAUCCAGGCUGGUGCCAAGGUAAACCAUGGGUCUUCCCUUCACUGGAUUAUUUUUAUGGGGAUCAGAGCAGAGACAGGCAGUGGACUCCAACUCCUGAGACAACAUCACAAUAAAUUGCCAUGGUGGCUCUUCUAUGGUUCAUGACUAGUAAAUCAAAUCUAUUGAACAAUACAUUUACUGCAAA